ensembl:lncRNA novel transcript
AAAUUAGAAGCAUGGCAGCACAUAAAAAAUCUUUGAAAUUAAAAUGCUUCCCUCAUUUUUGAAAUAAAAACAGGGACACCGAUCAAGUCAUUCCCACGCCAGUGAAAGCUUCUUGUGACAGCUCUGGGGAAAGUGGCUGCAUGGAGUUCUCCAGGGUGGCUCCCAGCAGUGCCUAGAAUGUAGUGUGUACACAGACAUCUCUCUCAGAGAAAGCUGUGGGGAACUCUCAGUCCCUUAGAAGGGAGGGGGAAAUUUAAUCUCUUCUAACAUGAGGCUGAAGAGUCAAUCCAAACCAUAGGUAAAAUGCAAACAUGUCCCUAUGUAUGAGCUUUACUGCUGUUUUCAAGUUUUGAUUUAGGGCAGUUGACAGAAACAACAACGACAGCUGAGGAAAUAUUUAUGAAUGAUGAGGUGACCUAAUAAGACUACAAGAACAUUUUGGUUUCUGAGGUCCUUUAAGGCUUGUAAUUCUGUGGUUGGAGCAAGAAUCAUUAGACAACCCUGAGCUAUCAUGUCGAAGGUGCCUGAGAAGCUGCAGCAUCCCAUG